rnacentral:rRNA from 1 species
UUUUAAAGGGCCGCGGUAAUUUGACCGUGCGAAGGUAGCAUAAUCAAUAGCCUUUUAAUUGGGGGCUUGAAUGAAUGGCUGGAUGAGAGAUUAGCUGUCUUUUUCUUAUUAUUAGAAUUUAACUUUUAAGUGAAAAGGCUUAAAUUUUCUGGAGUGACGAUAAGACCCUAUAAAACUUAAUAUAGUGAUUGAUUUGUUUAAGGAUUAUGGUUAAAUUAUAGAUUUGUUUUUAUAUUUCGUUGGGGAGAUGAAGAUAUAAAUAAAUAACUGUCUGAGGAAUAAAAUAAUUAUUAUUAGAUUAUGAUCCCUCAUUUAGGAUUAAAAGUUAAAGUUACUUUAGGGAUAACAGCGUAAUUAUCUUUGAGAGUUCUUAUCGACAGGAUUAGUUGCGACCUCGAUGUUGAAUUAAAAUUUCAGAUUGGUGUAGCAGCUUUUCUGGUA